AGUGUAGAUGCCCCAAUGAGGAGGUGUUGGGAGGUUGGCAAUAGCAGGCAUCAGGAGAGAUAGAGGCAGGCCAAAGAAGUAUUGGGGUGACGCGAUUAGACAGGACAUGGCACAUCUAGAGCUUACAAAGGAUAUAUCUUUUGGAUAGGAGGGUUUGGAGGUUGCAAGUCAUGGUAGAAGAUAAGAUGAUAGUUGUUUCUCUUGCUUGCACGCUUACCU
rnacentral:lncRNA from 1 species